rnacentral:rRNA from 1 species
UGGAGCGUGUGGUUUAAUUCGAUGCGCGAAGAACCUUACCUGGGUUUGACAUAGGGGUAGUAGCAAGGUGAAAGCUGCGCGACCCUCCGGGGAGCCUCUACAGGUGCUGCAUGGCUGUCGUCAGCUCGUGUCGUGAGAUGUUGGGUUAAGUCCCGCAACGAGCGCAACCCUCGUCGUUAGUUACAAGUGUCUAACGGGACUGCCGGUUUCAAACCGGAGGAAGGUGGGGAUGACGUCAAGUCAGCAUGGCCUUUAUAUCUUGGGCA